UUUAAUGAAAGAGAUUGGUCCCAAGAAAGUUGAACAUCGAGCCUGCACCUACAUGCAAUUCCCCCAUCUUCUGUUUAGCUACCAGAGGCCCUGAGAAUCAGCCUACUUCUGAUUUUUCACUUUCGAUCACUCCAAGUCUAAUCUAAAGUGUACAUUACUCUUUUUGGCGGCCAAAAUUAAUCACAUUUUGAAUAUGGGUUGUGGAGAAUGCUAAUCAAAAUUAAAAACAAGAUGGGAGACAUCUUUAGAACCUGGGUGUUUGGACUGCUUAGGUUCAAGGAUACUAGACAGUCAUAACAUUACUUCUUGUGCACAAGGAUUCCUGUUGAUCCUCCCACAAUCCCAAGGGAUGUGUAUGGCUCUGGUCUACCUACAGGGAAGCUGACUGGGCCCAGAUUCUGGGCCAGUAAGUGACAAGAAACCAGAAGAAUGAAUGGUCAUCUCUGCUUUUUGAAAUGAAGAGCCACCUCCAGAUUUUCAGGCUUCUGUGGUUGGGGCCACAGUCUGACUUCAAAUUUACAGGUCUGCUACUAUCUCGACAUUUCCACCUGUUGGACUUGGCCCUGUCCACGCAUUAUCUUUGCUGCGCACCCCUUCUCCCGGAUUCUUGAAGCCCCGCAGGCCCUCAUCACGCCGGCGGGUGUGGGUGUUCGGUGCUCUCAGCUCAGCGCAAUCCGAAGAGCCGGCGAAGAAUCAUCACCGGUGCUUGGGGACACUAAGAACUCGUGGUAAACUGAGGCCCGAGAUUCUGUGGCAAAAGGAGUUGAUACUUCAGGGCACAGACAGGCAAGGGAUCCUAGAGCAAGGGGCUGAUGCUGAACCCCCCCUGGGAUCACACUGAGUGAUAUGGCAAAUAGAAGAGCCCAAGAGAGACAUAAGUGACCAGAAGAAGGGAAAGAGGACUAGAGGGCUAGAACUGGGAGGGAGAGAUGUAAAGGGCCAGUAAGCCUCGACAGUGGGCCUAGGGACGCAGAACUUGGAGAAAGAGCCAAGGGGCAGCUGGGGUCAGCGCUGCCCGAUUACUGCCCGCUGUGGACCCAGACUCAGUUACACUGAGAUCGGAAAAAUGUCAACUAAAAGACCAAAACCAAAACACAACCAGUAAGGCCUGCAGCUAACACAGGCCGAGGGGGAGAAGUCAAAAGCCUUCCCAGGGUGCUGUCGAGGCCUCCUCCAAGGGGCUACCCGCUCUCAGGGUAAAUAUUUACUCAGUAGGAGACUGGAAGCUAACGGGGGAGGGUGGGAAGGAGCGGGCUACACGGGGUGGAGAGAAUCCGGGCGCUCCACGCUGGCAGGGACAGAGUAUACACCAGCCCGAGGGAAGCCAGGGCCCGGGACUCCAGGGGCGGCUCGCCCCGGGUGCGCGGCUGGGGUAACUUAGCCCGCAGCGCGCUCUUAGGCUAGGCUCCUGCCCUCCACUGCAGGCCCAGGCCAGAUGUUGUAAAGUCUUCAUAAACCUGUCAGCGGUCGCCGUGCCGCGGACAGUAACCUGUGGGCCCCCCUCUCGGCGCUAGCGGGAUCCAAGGAGAGACCGCGCGGAGGAACAGGAUCCAGCUCUUUCUGAGGCCGCCCUCGCGCAACCGGGCGGACGGCGCCCGCCCGGGGACUGCCGAGGUGCGACCCCGGAGCUACAGGCUGUUGAGGGAGGAGAACUCCUUCCUAGCUCUCCAACCCCACCGACGCCCCGGGCUGCUACCCCGGGGUCUGCAGGUCAGCUACGACUACGUCCCCGCGCGCGAGAGGUCCUGCCGUUCGCAGUUGCAUUUAUGAAGGGCAGAGUUGGCGGAGAAGAUUAAGGGGCAGUUUCUUCCAACUUGCCCUCCUCCUCCCCUCCUCCUGGGGACAGGACCCCGGGCAGGCGCAGGCGACGGUGCCCGCUUCUCGCCCAGCCCUGGGAGCUCCAGGGAUGGAGACGAGGCAGGCUCUGAGCUCCGGGACGGGUUUUCGGAGCCCAGUGACUUCUUCCAACCUCGAGUGGAGGGAAUGAGGUAGAAACAAGAUCUCGAAUCCGGUCCUCCCCAGGGAGCGCCUCUUUCAGGGUAAGUGAAAGA
rnacentral:lncRNA from 1 species